GAUUAUUUAUAUUAUUUAUUAUUAUUUUCUAAUUAGUCUAUGAUUUCUCAAAAAUCACUAUCUGUUUGCUUUUGUUUUUCGGUGUUAUGAAAACAGAUGUUGAAAUUAGACUUUUUAAGAAUAAUGGAAAGGCUCUCUCUGUGCGCAGGCGCCGGGGAAAACGUGUUUUUAAUAUUCAACUCACUCUCAAUAAUUUAAGUUAAUUUUUUUUAUUACUACCACAUUGAUUAUUGUAUGUAAAGGCUCAUAAGUAAAAUAGAAAAAUGUUAAGAUUAUUUACAUUAUUUUCUAAUUAGACUAUGAUCUCUCAAAAUCACUAUUUUUUGUUUUUGUUUUUCGGUGUUAACAGAUGGUGAAAAUUUAGAAUUAUAGUAUAGAGAAUGCUGGAAAGGCUCUCUCUGGGUGCGGACGCCUAGGAAAAGCGUGUUGUUCAGUGAGCUACUGGUCCAUGGGCAGAUAAAAAAAAGAGAUCACUUUUUCUGUAACCUCAGCUAAUGAAAGGAUAAUGUGGUCAGUACUAUGCAAAGCAGCCCAAUGUGAGUCUGAGACCCAUCAGAGUUGAAAGGAUUCAGGGAAGUCACAAGGACUUGAGUUGGGGAUCUGAACAAUAGAAUUUUGGCCAAGGGUUGAAAUUGGUUGAGAUGCAGAGGUGAACAGAAGGAAGCAUGCUUGCUUUUCCAACAACUAUUUUGAAGAAAGUGCUGGAGAACUGAUAUUUAUAGUAAGACUAUGGUCUAGUUAAUGUGUUUAUUUAUUUAUUUAUAUAUAUAUAUAUAUAUAUAUAGUUUUCAAAGGUUUUUACAGGCGGUAUAGACGACCUCAUUUAUUUUAGUUUUCUUCUUAAUUUAAAAUAUAUAGUGCAACGUUCAGCACUACUGCAAGUCUCUUAAUUAUAGUAUAGACUUAUUGUAUAGACUUCUGUAUUUACCUAUUUUGUAUUUUCUUAUCAUUCUGAAAUAAAAACUGGGCUGAGGAUAUAAUAAAAUUAAAUAUUUUUAUAAUUUAAUAAUAAAUUUAAUGCUGCUAUAAUUCUAAAUCAGGUUUUAGGCCUACUUUUUAGUGUGUUUUUCAAAGCCCAACAAAGCUGCAUUGUUUACUAAUGAUUAUUUAUAUUAUCACUAUUUUAGGUUAAGUAAGAUUAAUUCAGUAGGGUUAGUGUUAUGAUAUGGUCUUUUAAUUUUAUUGCUAUGGUAGAGUUUAGGUCAGGUUAAAUGAGUUUGAUUCUAGGUUUAGAUUGAGAUUGUGUAAGUGUUAUUACAUUUUGAAAUUAUUAAAAAUAACCUUAGUUCAUCACAAA